AGGCCAAGGCUUCUUGAAACACUGGUCAUGCCCCAGUGAUCAAUGAAGAACUCAGGGAUAUCCCAAAACUCAGGACUAUAAGGCACAAUGGGGGAGCAGGUACCAGGUGCCCAGCAUCCUAAAUGACUCUCAGUUAGCAGCUGCAGAGAAUGUAAUUAACAAGAGCUGCCUAUAAAUCUACCUCAGAAGACAAAGGGAAAAGCAAAACUCUGCCCAGGAAAACCUUACUUUACAAACCAGGUGACCAAAUUUCUAAAACAUCAUUCCCGUAAUCCCUGAUCAACAGAAAGGAAGCUCUGGAAGCAUGAAUGCUCAACCAUAUUUACCAGCCUUCCUGUGGUCAUUUGUCUGAGCUCCAGCUAGUGAAGUGUGAGUAGAACAGACAUGCACCACUUCCAGACCUGGCACCGGCAAACCCCCCAUGGCAACCCUCCAACCCUUUCCUCAACAACUGGACCAUGCUGGAAAGGACUGAGGAUCUAGAGGAGGACAGGGCUGUAAUAUGGAAGGAGUUUGGUUUCUGAAGGACCAUGUAGCAGGCCACCUGCAGGGUGGGAACAUCUUUAAUAGGUUUGGAAUAGCAAGAAAUAAACUGGUCUUGUAUU
rnacentral:lncRNA from 1 species